rnacentral:rRNA from 1 species
AGCAGCCGCGGUAAUUCCAGCUCCAAUAGCGUAUAUUAAAGUUGUUGCAGUUAAAAAGCUCGUAGUUGAAUUUUAGGCCUGGCCGGGCGGUCCGUCUUUGGCGAGUACUGUCUGUUGUCGGGUCUUCCUUCUGGUGAACCAAUAUGUCCUUUAUUGGGUGUGCUGGGGAGCCAGGACCAUUACCUUGAAAAAAUUAGAGUGUUUAAAGCAGGCUUUUGCUUGAAUAGAUUAGCAUGGAAUAAUAGAAUAGGACGUUGUGGUUCUAUUUUGUUGGUUUCUAGGACCACCGUAAUGAUUAAUAGGGAUAGUUGGGGGCAUUAGUAUUCAAUUGUCAGAGGUGAAAUUCCUGGAUUUAUUGAAGACUAACUAUUGCGAAAGCAUUUGCCAAGGAUGUUUUCAUU